CAGAGUAGGAAUCUGCGCGUGAAGUGUCAGGCGGACGGGGAGUUGCCGGCUGAACGAAAAGCCGAAAGGCUUGCGGUGCAGGCUCCGCAUCCCGCUG
rnacentral:ncRNA from 1 species